CCUACGGGUGGCUGCAGUGGGGAAUAUUGGGCAAUGGGCGCAAGCCUGACCCAGCAACGCCGCGUGAAGGAAGAAGGCUUUCGGGUUGUAAACUUCUUUUCUCAGGGACGAAGAAAGUGACGGUACCUGAGGAAUAAGCCACGGCUAACUACGUGCCAGCAGCCGCGGUAAUACGUAGGUGUCAAGCGUUAUCCGGAUUUAGUGGGUGUAAAGGGAGUGUAGGCGGGGGGGCAAGUCAGAUGUGAAAACUCAGGGCUCAACCGUGAGACUGCAUUUGAAACUGUGGUUCUUGAGUGCUGGAGAGGCAAUGGGAAUUCCGGGUGGAGCGGUGAAAUGCGUAGAUAUACGGAGGAACACCAGUGGCGAAGGCGAAUGGCUGGACAGUAACUGACGCUGAGGCGCGAAAGCGUGGGGAGCAAACAGGAUUAGAUACCCGAGUAGUC
rnacentral:rRNA from 1 species